CUCAGCCCGGUAGAGGUUAGCGUGCCAGACUACCGCCGCACCUCCCUCGUCAGCGGGUUUGAUAAUCACAUCUGGGUUGUUGCGGAGGGAG